GAGAUUGAAAACAUGACAUGGCCGUCCGCUAGUACAUCUAGCGGACUGGGUUAAUAAAAAUCUCAGCCAAUUAUGACCCUAAUUAGUCGAUUAAAGAGCUAUCUCUCUCCACUUCAACUCCUUCAUUUUCCUGUUCUUCCUUCGUCUUCAGUUUCAGACCCAAGCGCUUCCACUUCCUCUCAUCUUUCAAAGAAACCAAAAAACAGCAACAGAACCUUCAAAAGAGUCCGAAUAAUGCCCCACAAAGCCAUUGUAUUAUUGAAGUUGUAGUUAUUUCUGUACCAUGUAUUUGGCGACUCAGAAUGGGUUGGGUGGAAUGGACCUGUUUUGGGGGCGUCACACAAACACCUUUUUAUUCUUUCCUAUUACAGUAGUGUUCAUCCCAAGCUAUAAAAACAGAUUGUCAACAUGCAAGGAAAACAUCAGAAAUCAUUCUACCACUUCCUUAUUCUUAGUCUUGUUAUAAGUUAUAGUAUCCGUCUUGUAUUAAUGUCUGGAGUACGGAGCAUAUUUGAAUACUUCUUCUAUCCGUUUGUUAUUUGAUUGGUCUAAAUAUCAUGAGCGAAUAUUGGAGGGUCUGGCUUGUUGGGUAAUAUUUCAUUGAAAAACCUUUGUAUGUCAUGGGAAAAGUCUCCGAACUUGAGUUUAGGAGAAAGAACUGAGAUGUUUACUACUGUGAAUAUGCAGUCCUGUGUUGUGGAGGUAUAUCCAAAAGUCCCUUGACAUGAACAUUGUUGUUAACUGUUCUUCAUGUUUAUGAUUCAAAAAAAUAAAACUAUGGCAGACAGACCGAAACGAACACUUCUGUUCAAUUUUUACACAUGUUGACAUCUUUGGGACAAAUUUUCAAACACCCUAAGGGCAUAGCCUAUAAUUUCAGAAUUCAUAGAAGUUUAGGCAUGGUUCUAGCCAAAAAAUUUCAUAGAAGUCCUUGACAACAUAUAGUUUCCUGACCAAGCACAUCAAUUUCAGAAUAACAAACAUUAUGUAAACUUUCAAUUUCCAUAAAAUUAACCAAAUGCAUGGCUUACCUUACAAAAGAUUAGGCUUCCCACAUUAGUUUGCUAACCAGUUUAUGGCUUCCCACAUUAGCUUGCAACUUCAAUUCUUUAAUGCCUUCAUUAGUUUCAACCGAAAUUAAGAGGAUUUUGAUGAAGGUUUGGGAGUUGUGGAAGCUUGACAAUUAGAAGAAGAGACAUUUGCAGUCCAACAUGUUAAAAACCUUAACAGCGAACAUACCAGCGGACCUUGAUAUAGUGGUUGACAAACAUACCCAAACUUACAGACAAAAAAUGUAACUAUAUUAACAAUGUUACCAUGUAAAACACAUGGAGAGACAUUUGCAGUCCCUUUGGCUCCAUUAUAUGAAAGGAAAUCAAAAAAGGCACAUUUUUUGCACAAUAGAGACCCUUCCCUUCCCUUACCAAGUAACAGAAAUGUUGAAUAAACUUUGUAGAUAAACCCAACAAUAAACCCUUUGAAACCAAACUUUCUUAUUCUAAAUUUCUUAAAAAACAUAUCCAAUUCAAUAAACACAACAAACAUUCGAAUCAAAUUAAUUUAGGGAUAACUAAAUCAAUGAGCUGAAUUAAGUAAAUUAUACCUCAGCUUUAGCAGAUGGAGCGCCACCAAGAUUUCCCAUGUGAAUUUCACUCCCUUUCAGUAUCCAUCAUAAUAGCAACUGCAUAUCCUUUCUCCUCAUUCAACCUCCUCACCCUCUCAAUCACCCUCUUAUGCCAGUCCCGCGUGCCGUGACCCAAGCGCUUCCACUUCCUCUCAUCUUUCAAAGAAACCAAAAAACAGCAACAGAACCUUCAAAAGAGUCCGAAUAAUGCCCCACAAAGCCUCCGGAGGCUCCUGAAUUUGGACUCGAAAGGCGAUGAAGAUUACGGCAAAAGUAGCGGUGGUGAUGAUGGAUGGUUGGAGGAUGGGAAUGCUGUUAAAGGGGCUAUUUUAGCUGGGCUUUUUCUUGUGGGUGUUGUAGGUGGAUUUGGCACUGUUGGGUACAUCUAUAGGGACCAGAUCAAUGCCUUUUUAACUCAAUUUUUCGGAUUGAAGGUAUUUUUUCAUACAAUGAGUACCCAUUUCGGAAUUUCUGAAUUUUGUGUUUGAUUUUUAUGAAUUGAUAUGAGAACGUUUACUUUUCCUAAUUUCUAAGUUUAUUUUAAAAGUUUAUCUGCUUUCAAAUCUACAAAAUUUUAGUUUCUGAUUCCAAG
rnacentral:lncRNA from 1 species